rnacentral:rRNA from 1 species
CUUGGUCAUUUAGAGGAAGUAAAAGUCGUAACAAGGUUUCCGUAGGUGAACCUGCGGAAGGAUCAUUAGUGAAACUUCAAAGUCGGCUCGUUUACUGUGCUGGUGGAGACACAUGUGCACGUUGCGAGUCGCAAAUCCACACACCUGUGCAUCUAUGACUCUGAGUGCCGCUUUGCAUGGCCUUGACCGGCCUGGCACUCGAGUACUUUCACACACUCUCGAAUGUAACGGAAUGUCUAUUGUGCAUAAUGUACAAAUGAAACAACUUUCAACAACGGAUCUCUUGGCUCUCGCAUCGAUGAAGAACGCAGCGAAAUGCGAUAAGUAAUGUGAAUUGCAGAAUUCAGUGAAUCAUCGAAUCUUUGAACGCACCUUGCACCCUUUGGUAUUCCGAAGGGUACGCCCGUCUGAGUGUCAUUGUAAUCUCACUACAAUCGACUUUCUGGUCGUUUUGUAUGUGGACUUGGACGCUGCCGUGGAUUCAACGGCUCGUCUGAAAUGCCUGAGUGUACCCCGCCUUGCGGCGUAUUCGGUGUGAUACAUCUUCACCGGAGUUGAUCUUUUUUGAAUCGCGUCUGUUUGGUGUGGCUCUAUGCUUCCAACAGUCCCUUCAUGGGACAAUCUCUGACAAUUUGACCUCAAAUCGGGUGGGACUACCCGCUGAACUUAAGCAUAUCAAUAAGCGGAGGA